rnacentral:rRNA from 1 species
CACGUAGGCACCAAGCGUUGUCCGGAUUUAUUGGGCGUAAAGAGCUCGUAGGCGGUUCGGUAAGUCGGGUGUGAAAGCCCCGGGCUCAACCUGGGAAUUGCAUUCGAGACUGAAUAGCUAGGGUACGGUAGAGGGAAGCGGAAUUUCCGGUGUAGCGGUGAAAUGCGUAGAUAUCGGAAGGAACAUCAGUGGCGAAAGCGGCUUCCUGGACCAGUACCGACGUUCAGGCACGAAAGCGUGGGGAGCAAACAGG